rnacentral:misc_RNA from 1 species
UCGAGUUCUGACGAGGAGUCUUGAUGCUGGCCCAGCAAUUGGGUAUGUGCUCGACUCCCUGCUCAAAUCCAACUCAACCACUGUGCACUACUUCAAGCUUGUUGGUCCUCCAGCCACCUCGGCGCGGAGCAGCUCUCUUAACACGAGAGUCGGGGCUGACAGGUUUGACUAAAAUCCACACACAAACUACUUUUAAAGUCUUGUAGAAUGUUUAAUACUAUUGAAACAGUA